AUAGGCGCCAUUUUGUAUUGCUUGGUGUGGCAAGUGGCAGUCGACUGGUAUCUGAGACUGGCAUCACUUUCUUCUUGUAGGACAACAGCUGAAAUCCUGUAUUUGAGACAAGAAGGCAAGGGAAAGGCAGGCAAAAACCAAGAAUGCCAUCAGAGCAUGAAAGCAAGUAUGGCCAGAAAACUGCGUAACAUCUCUCAAAGAUGGGAAUCCCUUCACACAACAAGGAGCCAGUGAGGACAGCCAACGGCGGUGGAAUGCUUUCGGUCGUGAGGUUAAAAUACCCAAAAUGGAAACUUUGUGUAUGGACUGUACGACCUGUGCAUGAAUCUGUGUCACAACAAUGACGAACAGUACUAACGUUCGAAACCGUGACUAAUCCUCGACUUAGCUCGCGUCGGUUUUCUUAAUUUUCUUAUUUGUUUGUGUUAAUUUGUUUAUUGAACCUUUUAAACGGGAUGUUACAAUAUCUUACUGUCCCUUGUUUUCCACUCGUGUGUGUGUGUGUGUGUCCGAGUUAUCUAAUAAAAUACAUAACAGCU